UACAGAGGUCUCAAGCGUUUGUUCGGAUUCAUUGGGCGUAAAGGGUGUGUAGGUGGCGCCGUAAGUCGGGUGUGAAAUUUCGGAGCUUAACUCCGAAACUGCAUUCGAUACUGCGGUGCUUGAGGACUGGAGAGGAGACUGGAAAUUCAUGGUGUAGCAGUGAAAUGCGUAGAGAUCAUGAGGAAGACCAGUGGCGAAGGCGGGUCUCUGGACAGUUCCUGACACUGAGACACGAAGGCCAGGGGAGCAAACGGG
rnacentral:rRNA from 1 species